CAACUGUUGCAGUUCUUCAUUAAACAUCAUCUAAUUUUAUUGGUCGUGUUCUUGGUUAUACACAAGUUACCCUCGUUGAUAAAAACAUGAAAGAUCAAAUAUCUACAAGACAACCAACAGCUUAUAUUUAUGUUGAUGAACCUCAUCUAGAAUAUCAUAUAAAAUGGCUG